GUCUAAGUAUAAGCAAUUAUACCGCGAAACUGCGAAUGGCUCAUUAAAUCAGUUAUCGUUUAUUUGAUAGUACCUUAUUACAUGGAUAACCGUGGUAAUUCUAGAGCUAAUACAUGCUAAAAAUCCCGACUUCGGAAGGGAUGUAUUUAUUAGAUUAAAAACCAAUGCCCUUCGGGGCUCUCUGGUGAUUCAUAAUAACUUCUCGAAUCGCACGGCCUUGUGCCGGCGAUGGUUCAUUCAAAUUUCUGCCCUAUCAACUUUCGACGGCUGGGUCUUGGCCAGCCAUGGUGACAACGGGUAACGGAGGGUUAGGGCUCGACCCCGGAGAAGGAGCCUGAGAAACGGCUACUACAUCCAAGGAAGGCAGCAGGCGCGCAAAUUACCCAAUCCCGAUUCGGGGAGGUAGUGACAAUAAAUACUGAUACAGGGCUCUUUUGGGUCUUGUAAUUGGAAUGAGUACAAUUUAAAUCCCUUAACGAGGAACAAUUGGAGGCAGCU
rnacentral:rRNA from 1 species